AACAUUGGCAUUACUCUCAAAAUAACUUCACUGCAGCAUCAGCUACAGAAAUAUUAUGUUUCAUUAACGAAAUUGUAGAUCUAACAGUAUUGUAAAGAUAAGCUAGAAUCUGCAAACCUAGCAGUGAAAAACAAGACAUUAGAAGCAAACCUUUCAUUUAGUUCCGAAGCUUCAGGAUCAGAACUUGUAAUAGGAUCUACAGUUGUGCCUUCUAUAUCUCUUCUAGUCCACAUUUCAUUCCCAUGCGCAGUAUCAAAAAGCUCACCCAGAUUACAGACAUGAUAAGGUUCACUUUCUAUAUCAUUCCAUUCUUCA
rnacentral:lncRNA from 1 species